CGGGGGCGCCAGGGCCCUGGACGGAUCCGCCCCCAGCCCAGAGACACGCCCCUUUCUCUGGCGCGGGCGGCCGGGCCUCGUCAGGAUCGCCGCGCCGCGCAUGCGCUCGCUCUUCCCGCGGCCGUCCCGGGCUGCCGCGCCAGACCCGACCCGGGACCUGAGCUCCGCCUCCUCCCGCUGCGGGGCUCGGCGAGCCCGGCCCCAGGCUCCCGCCGUUCUAGCGCCCCCGCCGGUGCCCCCGGCCUUCCCGCCCCUCUGGCCCCCCAGUGGGAGCUCUCGCCGUCGGGUCGGGUCGGGUCGGGUCGGGUCGGCCGAAGCCCUGUAGCUGCGGACCCGGCUCCAGGUGGGCCCGUGGAGGGCGAAGAGCCGAGCCGAGCCGAGCCGAGAGGCCGGGGAAGCAGAGAGCCCGGGGCGGGGCGGGGCGGGGUGUGGGCCGCUGCCGCUCUUACCCCCGCGCUCUGUCCACAGUCACGCUGAACGGGGGGAGCCUGGCCCAGGACCGACGGCUAGCCAGGCCCGAAAGGUCGAUAAUCCGAAUAGUGCGGUCACCUGUUCACUGCGGGGAGCGUUUGUGACUGUGUGAUGAUACGGACUAACACAGCUGUUACUCUGAAACCAGCCCCAUCUGGAUCACCCUGAAUAUGAACAUUGGACUAUAACCUAUGGACUAAUUUUAAAAGAACUGUCUGCAACUAUGAAGCUCACCAUCUCCACUAUGAAUCUGAUCUCAGAACUGUACUCAUGUCUGAGGACGUAUCGGACUUGCUCGGAAGAGGCUAGUUCAUGGGUUUGGAACCAUGAAGGAACCAGGCUGUCAGGUGGAGCUUUUGGAGCUGCAGGUGAAGAACCCAUCCGUUGUCCUGGGAAAGGAGAUCUGGCCUUUUGGGGAGAGACCAUGGAUGACGGGAGGACAUGUGGAGUAGGGUGGGCCGAUAUUGUUGCUGUUUUGUCCUUUGUGCCACUGCAUCCAUGACGAGAGAGUUCAGUUGUGGGUGAGAAAAUAGGAAGUCAGCAUCCUUAGCAGGAACAUAGUAUUUAAGUUUGGCCUUUCUGCAGAGAUCAGGGAAGAGAAGUAGCACUGCCCUGAGUCCCGUCUUCAGUCAGGGAUGGUUGAGAAGGAACUGAGGAGGGUGCAGGACGCAGACGCUCAGGAAGAUUCCAACGAGACAGGAGAUACCAACUGAGCACCUGCAUCCCGACCAGGCACUGCUACCGAAAAUCUCCGAUCAAUAGUGCCGGGACACACCGACACCUAGAGUGGAGCACCCACAGGGACAGCACUCGAAGAAGAAAUUGACAAUUUGCAGCUGUUUGCUGCACCAAAGCAGUGAGGGAGUUGACUCAAUUUGCAGCUGUUUGCUGCACCAAAGCAGUGAGGGAGUUGACUCCUUACAGACAGACAGUCAAUCAAGAGCUAUUCUUACUGAGAUCUAUCACUUGUAAUGACCUAGAGCCUACCUGGAGAGUGAAACUGAAUAUUCAUGGCAAGACUAUUGACUUUAAAACUCACAUCACAGUUAUUUCAAAAGGGUCUUACAGUCAUCAUCAACCCCUUUCAGAGGUGAAGACACCUGACAAAGCUUUGACUAGCCCUAGUGGUAUUCUGAAUUGUGUGGGCCACUUCACCACAGAAAGAGCUUUUGAAGACAAAAGCUAUGCAUUCAGAGUACAUGCAAAGGAUCAAAGACCAACAGCCUUCUCAGUUACAGCAUGGCAGUCAUGAUGGAUUUAAUGAAAAGGUGGAAGAACUUGACAGAGGAUUUGAUGAAUUGGAGUUUUGAAAGGUGAUCCGGUACUAAUCAACUUAGGAGACCAUGCUGAAUUGUACAAUGUACAAACACCUUUAUCAGAGGGACCUGGGAAGAGAUUAGUUACAGAUUGAUGGAAAUUCAGAGGACAUCAUCAGAGGACCUGGUUGUAGUGGACUAUUUUUCUGGUAUGUAGAAAUCAUGUACUUGAAAGUCAUAACACGUUGCAGUGUUAUUGGGAAACUGAAGUGCACUCUGAUAUUCCUGAACAACUAGUGACGGAUAAGGGACCACAAUUCACUGCAGCAGAAUUUAAGUAAUUCGAAACAAAAUAUGAUUUUGAUCAUGUUGUUAGCAGCUCACAGUACCCACAAGUAAAUGGAGAGGCUGAGAGAGCUGUACAGACAGCCAAGAAAAUUCUACAGCAGGAAAAUGCAUUUCUUUGCUCUCUUGAGUUACAAAUCAACCCCAAUGGCAGCUACUGGGUAUGAUCGAGCACAACACCUGAUAGGAGGACAACUCAAACCUACUGUUUCAACUUGGGGGGGGGGGGUGGAAUCUAUCUCCCAAAUGGCCAGACAUAAAGAGAGUACCCAAAAUGGAUAAAAAUAUUAAAAUACAGUUUUUGAACAUUUUUACAACAGAUAUCACUGAGUUCGAGAACUGCCAGGUCUAGAGCCUGGUGACCAUGUUCAUGUCAAAUUGGAUGGGAAAAAGGAUGGACAACUCCACCUGACGUAAAAAGAAAGAAUUCAGUGCCCAGAUAGUAUGAUAGAGACAGACAGUGUCAAGUUCAACAGAAACUGUGGACAUCUAGUUUAUUCCUCAGAAAGAACAAUCAACAGAGCAAACUCUACAGAUGCAGAACAAAAGAUGACUCAAGGAUGACCAAGUUGUUGUAUGUUUGGGUUGUUUAUUUAGACAACCAGAAGGAGUCACAGACACUGAACAGACUGAUACUUACUGAAUUUCAAAGAUAGUGUAAAUGGUAGGAAUGUAGAACUUCAAAGGGGAGAUUUAAUGGAAUGAUAAACUGUAUUAUACUGUUCUGCUAUUGGGUGGUGCUGUGUGUAAAAUUCCUUCUUUAAGCUCAUAACAGCCAUACCUGGCAGAACGUUAUGGGAUCUUAUGGUGAAUAUCUGGUGUGUAUUUCACUAAGAAGCAAGCUCUGUAGCCAGUCCCUGUCUGGCACAGGACCCUGACAGCAUGCCACAUUUUUGUAUUGUAUACAAAUCCUAGCAGAACCAAGUAUUUCACAUAAGUGUCAUAACACAAGGCACAAUGGAUUUAAUGUUUCAUUUCUCAUCUGUACAAAAGUACAAAUCCCAGAAUAAUGUGUCCUGUGAAAGCAGCUUUUGUCCCAUAGGGAUGUGGCUGGGAAAUAGAUAGAACUUUGGCAUUACAAUUUCAUUCCCAAUGCCAAUUCUCCAGUUUCCCUAAUAUACCUGCCCUCCCAAUGGUUGUUACAGACCCUUACCAGCAGAUGGAAAUAGGAAAUUGUUACCAUAUUAUUUAUUUAGCAUCAGCAUUAAGGAGCUUGUCCCUGAAUAUUAAAACAAAGACAAUCAUUGCAUCCGAUGAAGUGAGCUGUAGCUCACGAAAGCUUAUGCUCAAAUAAAUUUGUUAGUCUCUAAGGUGCCACAAAUUCUC